AUUGAACGCUGGCGGCAUGCUUUACACAUGCAAGUCGAACGGUAACAGGUUAAGCUGACGAGUGGCGAACGGGUGAGUAAUGCAUCGGAACGUGCCCGAUCGUGGGGGAUAACGCAGCGAAAGCUGCGCUAAUACCGCAUACGAUCUGAGGAUGAAAGCGGGGGACCGUAAGGCCUCGCGCGAUCGGAGCGGCCGAUGGCAGAUUAGGUAGUUGGUGGGGUAAAGGCCCACCAAGCCGAGGAUCUGUAGCUGGUCUGAGAGGACGACCAGCCACACUGGGACUGAGACACGGCCCAGACUCCUACGGGAGGCAGCAGUGGGGAAUUUUGGACAAUGGGCGAAAGCCUGAUCCAGCAAUGCCGCGUGCAGGAAGAAGGCCUUCGGGUUGUAAACUGCUUUUGUACGGAGCGAAAAGGCCCUUUCUAAUACAGGGGGCUCAUGACGGUACCGUAAGAAUAAGUACCGGCUAACUACGUGCCAGCCGCCGCGGUAA
rnacentral:rRNA from 1 species